rnacentral:rRNA from 1 species
UACGUAGGGUGCGAGCGUUGUCCGGAAUUAUUGGGCGUAAAGAGCUUGUAGGCGGUUUGUCGCGUCUGCUGUGAAAUUUCGGGGCUCAACCCCGAACUUGCAGUGGGUACGGGCAGACUAGAGUGUGGUAGGGGAGACUGGAAUUCCUGGUGUAGCGGCGAAAUGCGCAGAUAUCAGGAGGAACACCGAUGGCGAAGGCAGGUCUCUGGGCCACUACUGACGCUGAGAAGCGAAAGCAUGGGGAGCGAACAGG